UUAGUGACUUCCGGUGUAAUGGCGUCAAGAAGUAAGCACUGUUGUCACAUUUUGAUCUACAGUGUUUCAAUAUUUCGCCUUUGUUUAUAUCAGUCGAGUUAACGCAUUAACAAGUUUAUAACCAACAAAAGAAUUAUAAGAUAAACCGAGGAAGGUGAUAGCAUCAUCACUACCAUGGAGGUCGCGACUGAUGAAGAGGCUCAAGCAGUGCUGUUAGAAGAAAUGGAGGGUGCACAAUAUAUAACCAUACAGCCAGCAGAUGCGGAAUCUCUCUCCAAAGGAGUUCCUUUAAUUACUUUAAACGGAGAGUUAAUUCCAGAAAGAAUGGUUGUAGAGAUGAUGAACGUCGGUGUUGGCUCAGAAUAUUCUACCGCAACUCAGUACUAUGAAACGGAAGAUGAUCUUUUAUCACACGAACUGACAGAGGAGGACCGUAGAUUAGCUGCAGCAUUAGUUGCUGUUCAGUUGCAGCAGCAACAAAAACAACAACAAUUGCAUAACCAGCAGCACGAAGAUCCCACCUUACCCGAUGUUGGUCAUUUAGAUUCACUUUCGCCUGUUAAUGCUUAUAUGCAGACAAUACCUGACCCAGAUCCACCGCCAGUAUAUCCGACAAUGCAUUCAAUGAAACGGAUUUCUCAAUCUCAAAAUGUAAAACAGGAGUUUAUCAACAUAAAAAGCGAAUAUGAGAUUGAUGUUUCUGCAGAGAGCAGUGAGGAUGCAGCGCCUACUUCCGGACCAAAAAGAUCUUUGCCUCAUAAAAAAAGAAUCCCUAAAAAACUGAAGCAGCAAUCUAAACGGACUUCCGUCAGAAGAGAUAAUGCUAAGUUAAACCAGGAUAUUGUUUCUCAACAACCAGCUAAUGAACCUCUGAUGCAUGCGUUUAGAUGUGAAUUGUGCGGCUGUUCGAUCGGAGGACAAUUGAAAUUCUUUGAACACUUGAAGGCACACUAUGAACCGGUAAAAGUAGAAUCUAGAAUAGCACAAACCACAAAUACGAGCAUUACGAUAUCUGUGUCAGACUCCGUUCAAGGGAUUGAUACUACUGUAAUAGAAGAGUUUAGUGAACCUGAAGAUCUUAUGGAAGGCAUACGAGGCGUCGUUGAGGAAACAGGAGCUCAUAUUGAUGAAGAAGCUGAUGGUUCGCUAAACGAUGUUAAUGGGGGGCCAACUUUGUGGGCAAUUUCGGAUGUACCUGAUCACGGGGCGCAGGAACAGGUGGAAACCACUACAAUUAAUGAAAACGAUUUACUAGAUAGAGAAGAGAUCGAAGUGCCACAAACUAAAAAGAAGAAAUCACAAAAACAUAGAAGAUCAAGUACAGUUGACGAACUUGCCUGCCUACAAUGCGGUCGAUCAUUCAACCACAAGAAUAGUCUGGUUUACCAUAUGCGAUCUCAUAGUGGAGAAAGGCCACAUCAGUGUGACGUUUGUGGAAAAAGUUUCUUUGCCGCCAGUGCAUUAAAGGUACACAAACGAUUACAUAGUGGCGAUAAACCGUACAAGUGCGACGAUUGUGGACGUCACUUUCGUCAAUGGGGUGACUUGAAAUAUCACUCGACUAGUAUACACUCUGAACAAAAACAAUUCCAGUGUGAAUAUUGUGGGAAAGACUUUGCACGAAAAUAUUCUCUUAUUGUCCACAGACGUAUUCAUACUGGUGAAAAAAACUAUCGAUGCGAAUAUUGUAAUAAGACUUUUAGAGCAAGCAGUUACCUGCAAAAUCAUAGACGAAUUCAUACAGGCGAGAAACCCCACCCAUGUACAGUUUGUGGAAAACCCUUCAGGGUAAGAAGCGAUAUGAAAAGGCAUCUGAACACGCAUUCACGCGGAAGAUUUGAUAGGCCUGUAAAUCGUACAACCAUGACUAAAAAUUUGACGGAUGAUGAAAAUAAAGCAUCACAAGUCCGAACGAUUCAGAAUAGUUUGGUUGAGGACUUAAAGCUGGAAGUUGAAGGUAAUGGAGUUGAACUUGUUUCACCAGAAGACAAUCCUGAGAGUAUUCUUCCACAUGAAGGUGGGCAGAACAUGGAUUAUUCUGCUACACGUACAGCAGAUGGUGGAACAGAUAGAGAUCCUUUGGAAGCAGAUGUGCGAUCUACAGAUACAUUGUACACAUGGCCUUGUUAUCAUCUGUAGCCUAUUAUUUGCUAUCGAAUUAUUUCAUGUAACUGUGGCUGAUUAUUGAUGUACAGUGUUACGUGCAAUCAUAAGUCAGUGUAAACACUGUUUCAAGGAGGACAUUUUAUCGACAGAUCUCGUACAUUAAUUGACUUUUCUGAUGAAAAAAUCAAACAAAUUUUUUGAAUGAUCUCAUUCAAAGUGGCUACUUGAUAGUAUAUAAUAUUGGUAUCAAUGGUGAACUGGCAUCAAUUAAAUUCCAAAAACUAUUAAUGAAUUAUUUUUUCUGCCAAUUUAAAUUACUCUUAUAAUAUUUACUAUUUAAGGCGAUCGAGGCUGUUGAUCAUUCUUGCAUGUUGCAUGAAUAAAUAAUUAAAUAAAUAAACGAAUUGAGGCUGCUACCGUGAUUCAUUAGAGUUGUGGAAAGUACGAAACCUAUUUCGUUUCGAUAAAUUAGAAUUAGUGGUGACAGGUCAGGGCAAUAUUCUCCAAAAACACAAGACUAGAAUCAGUGAAAUCUAUAUAUACAGUGGACUUAGUUUUUUUCUUAAUGUAUUUUCAGACUAGUGGCAUAAUUUAUAAACAAAUACUAAUGAACGCAGGUUAACACAAACGUUGGGAUAUAAUUGGAAAUUCUGUAUUUGAAAAGCCUAUACACACAAACAUAUACUGCGUCAUAAGUUUAGUUAUGUAAAGAAUUAUAAUCCUAAAAUUCUAUAUCAUGUUUUCAAACUUAAACUAAUUAGUUGUUUAUGUGGAAAUUCAAUGUUGAAAAAUAUAUUUUUUACACAGA
rnacentral:misc_RNA from 1 species